rnacentral:misc_RNA from 1 species
UGGUUCCGGCAUCGAUGAAGAACGCAGCGAAAUGCGAUAAGUAAUGUGAAUUGCAGAAUUCAGUGAAUCAUCGAAUCUUUGAACGCAUAUUGCGCCCCUUGGUAUUCCGAGGGGCAUGCCUGUCCGAGCGUCAUUGCACCUCUCAAGCUCCGCUUGGUGUUGGGGCCCGCCCCCCGCGGCGGCCCCGAAAAGCAGUGGCGGUCCGGUGAGACUUCGAACGUGUGGAAAUCGACCGGGAACGGUCAAAUCGUUCAGAACGUUCGAGCCGCGACCCGCCAGGUCAACCCCUCAAUUUUUUAUCAGGGUUGACCUCGGAUCAGGUAGGGAUACCCGCUGA